AGGUUUGUUGGAGCCAUCUUCUGAGGAGAGAAGAAAGAGAAGAUUGGCAACUCAUCCAACUUGUUUUGAGACACUUUAAGGUAAUGAUGCCUUCCACACAGAGACCAUUGUUAGUUUCCCACCAUACAUGUUAAUGUUGACCUUUAAACUGGGCGA